rnacentral:rRNA from 1 species
UACGGAGGGUGCAAGCGUUAUCCGGAUUCACUGGGUUUAAAGGGUGCGUAGGUGGGCAAGUAAGUCAGUGGUGAAAUCUCCGGGCUUAACCCGGAAACUGCCAUUGAUACUAUUUGUCUUGAAUACUGUGGAGGUCAGCGGAAUAUGUCAUGUAGCGGUGAAAUGCUUAGAUAUGACAUAGAACACCAAUUGCGAAGGCAGCUGGCUACACAAAUAUUGACACUGAGGCACGAAAGCGUGGGGAUCAAACAG